rnacentral:tRNA from 1 species
AGGGUCGAUCGUAUAAAGGUCAUUACGGCAGGCUGUUAACCUGCUUAUCGUGGUUCGAUUCCAUCGGGCUCCACCA